rnacentral:rRNA from 1 species
CACGCCGUAAACGAUGAGUACUAAGUGUCGGAAGAAUCCGGUGCUGCAGUUAACGCAUUAAGUACUCCGCCUGAGUAGUACGUGCGCAAGCAUAAAACUCAAAGGAAUUGGCGGGACCUCGCACAAGCGGUGGAUCAUGUUGUUUAAUUCGACGAUACGCGAAGAACCUUACCAGGCCUGGACAUACCGAGCAAAGCGAUGGAAACAUAGUGGAGGUUAACUGGGAUACAGGUGG